rnacentral:rRNA from 2 species
GCUGACGAGUGGCGGACGGGUGAGUAAUGUCUGGGAAACUGCCUGAUGGAGGGGGAUAACUACUGGAAACGGUGGCUAAUACCGCAUAACGUCGCAAGACCAAAGAGGGGGACCUUCGGGCCUCUUGCCAUCAGAUGUGCCCAGAUGGGAUUAGCUAGUUGGUGAGGUAACGGCUCACCAAGGCGACGAUCCCUAGCUGGUCUGAGAGGAUGACCAGCCACACUGGAACUGAGACACGGUCCAGACUCCUACGGGAGGCAGCAGUGGGGAAUAUUGCACAAUGGGCGCAAGCCUGAUGCAGCCAUGCCGCGUGUAUGAAGAAGGCCUUCGGGUUGUAAAGUACUUUCAGCGGGGAGGAAGGUGUUGUGGUUAAUAACCGCAGCAAUUGACGUUACCCGCAGAAGAAGCACCGGCUAACUCCGUGCCAGCAGCCGCGGUAAUACGGAGGGUGCAAGCGUUAAUCGGAAUUACUGGGCGUAAAGCGCACGCAGGCGGUCUGUCAAGUCGGAUGUGAAAUCCCCGGGCUCAACCUGGGAACUGCAUUCGAAACUGGCAGGCUUGAGUCUUGUAGAGGGGGGUAGAAUUCCAGGUGUAGCGGUGAAAUGCGUAGAGAUCUGGAGGAAUACCGGUGGCGAAGGCGGCCCCCUGGACAAAGACUGACGCUCAGGUGCGAAAGCGUGGGGAGCAAACAGGAUUAGAUACCCUGGUAGUCCACGCCGUAAACGAUGUCUACUUGGAGGUUGUGCCCUUGAGGCGUGGCUUCCGGAGCUAACGCGUUAAGUAGACCGCCUGGGGAGUACGGCCGCAAGGUUAAAACUCAAAUGAAUUGACGGGGGCCCGCACAAGCGGUGGAGCAUGUGGUUUAAUUCGAUGCAACGCGAAGAACCUUACCUGGUCUUGACAUCCACAGAACUUUCCAGAGAUGGACUGGUGCCUUCGGGAACUGUGAGACAGGUGCUGCAUGGCUGUCGUCAGCUCGUGUUGUGAAAUGUUGGGUUAAGUCCCGCAACGAGCGCAACCCUUAUCCUUUGUUGCCAGCGGUUAGGCCGGGAACUCAAAGGAGACUGCCAGUGAUAAACUGGAGGAAGGUGGGGAUGACGUCAAGUCAUCAUGGCCCUUACGACCAGGGCUACACACGUGCUACAAUGGCGCAUACAAAGAGAAGCGACCUCGCGAGAGCAAGCGGACCUCAUAAAGUGCGUCGUAGUCCGGAUUGGAGUCUGCAACUCGACUCCAUGAAGUCGGAAUCGCUAGUAAUCGUGGAUCAGAAUGCCACGGUGAAUACGUUCCCGGGCCUUGUACACACCGCCCGUCACACCAUGGGAGUGGGUUGCAAAAGAAGUAGGUAGCUUAACCUUCGGGAGGGCGCUUACCACUUUGUGAUUCAUGACUGGGGUGAAGUCGUAACAAGGUAACCGUAGGGGAACCUGCGGUUGGAUCACCUCCUUACCUUAAAGAA